UGUGUACUUCAAUGCAUCUAUGAUAAGUAAGAAAAUUCAGUUUAACCUUAAAAGGUCAAACUGCAAAGGUUGACGAAAUAAGUAACUAAAAUGAAAGAAUUGCGUGUAAGAAAUGGAAUGUAAGAUGUGUUAUAGCAUGUACGCAGGAAAUAUGUAACAGAAUUAUAGGUGUGUAAUCACCUAGUGUUAUGAAUGUUUGAAUGACAUAUGCUAACCGCCGAUGUUGUUGAUGAUAAUGUUAGAACUAUUGAUGCGAUGAAACCAAUCGUAUUGGUGAAAGGACGUGCACGAGCGGAAGCUCAUAACACGAAGGAAUGAAACUUGGCCUGUACGGCUAGUGCACGAGGAGAAGAUGAUCGAUCAGGGUUGCGGAUCGUGGUUGGGAAAUGAAAAAGAGAAAUUCAGCAAAUUGAGGAUGAAAUAGGACAAGAUUCUUAUGCAUGUGAUGAAAUUCUUAAUCAUCUAAGAGUUCUCUACAUAAGGAUAGGAACCACACUAGCAUGGACCAAGCAUGAAAGGCUAACGGGUCGAAAUGAGGCAAGGAAGCGGUUACGAACAUGGAUGCACGAGGUAAGUGAUUUCCGUAAUCACUUCUUAUUUUGUUUAAGUAAUGUAGUGUUAGUUAAUUGAGCA